GUGCUACUUCAGCAGCACAUAUACUAAAAUUGAAAUGAUACAGAGAAGAUUAGCAUGGCCUCUGAACAAGGAUGAUAAAGCCAAUUCAUGAAGUGACCCACUCCCAU
ensembl:snRNA U6 U6 spliceosomal RNA